rnacentral:tRNA from 1 species
AGUGUAGCUCAACUGGUUGAGCUUCCGGCUUUUAACCGGAAGGCUGUGGGUUCGAAUCCCACCACUUU